rnacentral:tRNA from 1 species
GCGGAUAUUGCUCAGCAGGGAAAGCGCGACCACGCCAUGGUCGAGGCCCCGGGUUCAAGCCCCGGUAUCCGCUCCA